GUAGGCAGCAAACGUUGUUCGGAAUUACUGGGCGUAAAGAGUGUGUAGGCGGUUUGGUAAGUUUGGUGUGAAAUCUCCCGGCUUAACUGGGAGGGUGCGCCGAAAACUGCCAGGCUCGAGUACUGGAGAGGAUAGCGGAAUUCCUGGUGUAGCGGUGAAAUGCGUAGAUAUCAGGAGGAACACCUGCGGUGUAGACGGCUAUCUGGACAGUAACUGACGCUGAGACACGAAAGCGUGGGGAGCAAACAGGAUUAGAUACCCUGGUAGUCCACGCCCUAAACGAUGCAUACUUGGUGUGGGUGAUUCAUUUUAUCCGUGCCGGAGCUAACGCGUUAAGUAUGCCGCCUGGGGAGUACGGUCGCAAGGCUG
rnacentral:rRNA from 1 species